UACGUAGGGUGCGAGCGUUGUCCGGAAUUAUUGGGCGUAAAGCGCUCGUAGGCGGUUUGUCGCGUCGGCCGUGAAAUCUCCACGCUUAACGUGGAGCGUGCGGUCGAUACGGGCAGACUUGAGUUCGGUAGGGGAGACUGGAAUUCCUGGUGUAGCGGUGAAAUGCGCAGAUAUCAGGAGGAACACCGGUGGCGAAGGCGGGUCUCUGGGCCGAUACUGACGCUGAGGAGCGAAAGCGUGGGGAGCGAACAGG
rnacentral:rRNA from 1 species